GCGGCGGCGGCGGCGGCGGCGGCGGCGGCCGCGGGGGAGGGGUACGGCGUCAGCGCGUCGCCGGCUGGGCCGCGCCGGUGGCCAGGAGGGAGAGACUAGGAGGAGGAGGAGGAGGAGGUGACACUGAUGAUAAAAACCCGUUCAAGAAUUUAGAUGUGACAUCUGCAGCAGGUUCAGAUCUCUCAGCUAAAAGACAGACUGGAUACUUCGUAAAGAUUUUCAUCUGUUGUGCACAGAGAGCCAAAAUCCGUUACUGAAAUAGACUGUCUGGGUGAACUGCCUGCUGGGUCCAGUGAUGCACUAGUAGACAAAGAAGUUGAAAAAGAAGGCUGGCAUAUUCUUUGGAUAACUGGCUGAGUGUGACACCAAUAUGGCAUCAAGCCCUACUAUGAUUCCAAGGACUUCAUGAUUAAAUAACUGAUUUUUUUGGGUGGAAGUAGGGGUGGAUGAAGUAAAUUUGAUCUUUACUUGGGGAAUGUAUAAUGUAUUACCAUCCCAUAAUGAUGUAUGAUAAUUGGCUUUGGUCAUCAAACUUUAGAGAUCCUGUCUAUUUAUGGGACUUAAUAUAGUUAACACCUUUUAGUAUUGAACUUUCUGACACUAAGGGAAAUGCUAUAAAGAGAAAUAUCUGCUUAACCUAAAAUAGUUUACCUAAAAAGUUUAAUAUAAGGACUGUGAUUUUUCUUUGGGGGAUUUUUGAAAUUUUGCUCCUCCCUAGAGUAUUUAAAUUAUAUUUCUAUUUGCAGAAAGGCUACUGUACCUAGAGUUUUUUAGGAAAAUAUCCUUUUGUGUAGGAUCUUGAACUGGAUAGUGAGUAGAUAAUCAUACUGUACAGUGUUAAUGUGCAUACAACAGUUAAUAAAUUUAUAACUACAAAUUAAUAAGAGCUAUUAAUAAAUUAAUAUCCAGAUCUGUUAACUAAAAUCAUUUAAAAUGAUUUAAUGAGCAGAUGUGAACUGGAAAUAAACCUGUGUAUUUUCUAGAACUGUUGAAUCAAAGGAAAACUGGAACAUCAGAAUAUUCUCUGAACCAAAUCAAUAUUUUAUUUGAUCAGAGUCCCUGCUUUGGUAUACAUCUAUUUAUACUGGUUACAGAGGAUUUGAAAGCAGUGCAGGGAAAUGAGUUGGGUAGAUUCAAAGUUGAAUCCCAUUUUUUUCCUCCGUGAAUAUCCAAUAUUUUUUUUCAUCUAGCAUUCAACAAAAACUCUAGCAGCCCAGGAUACAAAACAGAUUACAUUUUAUAUAGUUCAUACAGCUCAUCCACAAACAGAAAAAGAUUUCCUUAUGACUUACCUUGAAAUCUUUAUUUAAGGUCUGUACUAUUCAGUUUGCCAGUGUGCCACUGCUACUAUUGCAUGUUUUUGGUCAGAGUGAAGUGCAGCUAACAUACACCCAUUCCGCUAGGAAAAAGAUCUGCAGGUUGCUGAACAGUGGAAGUUACACACAGCUAAUUUACAAGUCAGAUUAGCGAUCAGAGUUAUUCGAUAGCGUUAUGUGGAAUUGAUUUCAUUUCAUGGUUUUUAAGCUAUUUUUUCACUGAGGCAAUGCCUGUAACAGAGACAGGUGUGUUGUAGCAUUUGAAUGCCUUAAACUCUUGAAUCUGGAAUGAAAGGGAGGUUCUUAUAGAUGUUCAGAUCCUAAAACUCAGGGAUUUUGAAGUAAAAUGCCCUGUCAUUCAUUUAUUGUGCUGUAAUUGAACUGCCUUGCAGAUUUUAUUUGGGAAUAUUAUGAUUAAUAUUUGGAAAACUUUCCUAUUUUCAAAUAUAGUCUUUAGGAAAGC
rnacentral:lncRNA from 1 species